rnacentral:misc_RNA from 1 species
UCCAAAUUUAUGCCAGAACAAAGCUGAUCGCUAUUUCCAACGUAACCAGGUGUGUGUCGCAAUAUAGCUGUUUUCCCCAUUGUAUGAUUCUGUGGGAAAAACCUGCGUAGGUGUAAUUUGCCUCGCUUUGUGAGAAGCGGCGUGUCAUCAGCUUCUCUAUCGAGUCACAAUAAAUUACUAAGAUUUGUAGGAUAAUUUCACUUUACUUCUACCUAAUCUGGUAUUUUUGGUGACAGUAUAUAAAGAUCUGAAUACGCGACCCACGUUUAAGUUAGAUUUAGUCGGGAUGGUGUUUGGAAACCUGAGCACGACUGAUGAGAAAUGGGUCUUGGACAUACUUCAGGAUUUACUGUAGAAAUCGAAAAUGAAACGCCACACGAACUGCAUUUACGCGAUUCUCAUACUAUCGACCGCAGAACAGGCGUGUCACCUACUGUUACUGCCUCCAUACUGCCAGGCACAGUAGUCCAACAGGCCAUAGAAAGUCAUGGUUGUCAAGAUGCAAGCUAUGGGGCACAUGUAAGAAAUAUUCAAUAUGCCGUUCAGCAGUACCAAAGCAACGCAGCGGAGAACAGAUCGUUACAGAUGGAGAAUGAAAGCACUAGUACUGCUGUGCAGAGUGCUUCACACGAUGGUCAUCCCGGUUGGGUUUUUCGUCUGCAAUUAUGUGCCGCCUAUUACAAGAAAAAUGCUUUCUAUGUCGUAGAAAUAAUAGACCCAAAUGGCCAAAUUCGUGCAAGAGAAGUGUUUAGAGAGGAUAAUGCUUUGAAGUACCGUCGCCAAACGGACGAAAAUUGCAACGUGAAUCCCAUAGCAGCCAGUGGUGACUGUCCCUUCGCAGUGGAUAUGACUGUCAGCGAGAAUCCGCGUAGGAAUCUCGGUUGGUGGAGCGUGCGUCUCUGCGUAAGAGAACGCUUGAUGUAAGUACACUGUGCAUUGCCAAUCCAGCUUCCUUCGUAGAAAGACUACAUUUUACGUUCGGUGUUUGGAAAGCGUGCAGGACAGCUACAAUACGAAAACUACGAGACAUCUCAGACGAUUUGCACCUUCACAAUCAAAGCAUUAGUGUCGCCACAAUCACGGGUCAUUCUACUUCAAUAUUUGCCGCAGUACUCGGCGCUGCAGGGUUUGCCGCUUCAUUCUUUACCUCAGGGGCAUCUCUCAUUUUAUUAGCGGUCAGUGCCGCAUUCGGCGCGGGUGGUGGGAUAACUGUGAGUGGCAGCACCAUCGCUCGCUCUGUUCUCUCAGCAUCAGCGCAAGCAGAGGCCAAUGAAGUUUUACAAAAAGAUCACAAUGCAUUACGUGACAUAUUGAUUCUGUUUGAGACUAUAAAACACAUAGGCAGACAGGAUCUUAUGAAAAUCAAACAGCAAUUCAAGAUGCACAACGUCCCCAGAAAAGGUAUAAUAUUAUCUACAAUGCACCACGCGGGUAAAAUUGGAUUCCUUGUGGGUUCUAAUCUCUUGUAUAAACCAAUCAUCACAGCACAGAAACUGGCUGGGGAACUGACCGCAGUGAGCACUCGGUCAAUUACCAAAACUGGACGUUCAGUUGCCACAUCAGGCGGGGAAGAUUUGCUCGAUCUGUUUUUACGGGCAAUAGGUAUCCAGGUCCCGAGAAAUGUUUAAGAUUCUGUCGGUGGAAUCAUUCCACUGGUGUUUUUGCCCUUUGAUAUCUGGGGCCUUGUUGAGGCUGCUGCCAUAGUGGCUAGUGACAGGGGGACUGAGAUAACCGAGUUAUUGCAACGUACUGCCAAAGCCCUUGAGAAGGAAAUACCGAGCCAGCAAGAUUUUGAUGUCCUGGUUCACAAAUACCUUAGCAGCAUUUAGGAAAUUGUGUAUCUUUCCACCAUCUGAGCUCAUUCAGUUGUAACGUACUCACAAAAAUACGAUGAGAUAUAUGCGAUGUUUUAUCUAGUGAAAUGGGUUUUUAUAAUAUUUAAAAUCGAGUAACUAGCUAUAGUGCUGUAAAAAGUCAUUCGUUACCAGGAAAAUACACAUAUUAACAGAAUUAUGUUAUUCUCAAAUAAACAGAAAUUCUACAUGAUAUAGUGGGGGGCCUACUAGUACAAAACGUGUAUGUGUAUUUUCCAUUGUCUACAGUCUAGUCCAUUUCCUUAUACAAUAUAUUUAUGAUAGUUAACAACUAGAUGUGAAAGCUACACUGUAGAAGUACACAAGGCCUACCUUAAAAAACGGAGAACGGGGGUUUUCCAGCCAUCUGCCGUGUCAUGUGACACUGGGAUUUUCCAAAGCAAUUUUGAUUAUAUUGCUAGUGACGAGGUUUGUCACCAGCUUACAGUACACCUACGCGGGGUUUUCCCCCGCUACAGCCAAAGUUAGUAACAUGUUUUUAUAUCCCAAAUACCAACAUGUUUACAUUUACUUUGUAGCUGCCACACCAUGUGGACAUGUGGUCAUACUUGGCAUUUGCAAUGUCAAAUGGUUAAGAAUUAUAGUGGAAGCAAGAAACCUAAAACCUUUAACAGGAUCAAGAAUCCAAACUCUCGAGCACUUGACAACCAUUUUGACCAAUGUCUAAAA